rnacentral:misc_RNA from 1 species
GAUGAAGAACGCAGCGAAAUGCGAUAAGUAAUGUGAAUUGCAGAAUUCAGUGAAUCAUCGAAUCUUUGAACGCACAUUGCGCCCGCCAGUAUUCUGGCGGGCAUGCCUGUUCGAGCGUCAUUUCAACCAUCAAGCCCUGCUUGCGUUGGGGUCCUGCGGCUGCCCGCAGGCCCUGAAAACCAGUGGCGGGCUCGCUAGUCACACCGAGCGCAGUAAUACAUCUCGCUUUGGGCGUGCAGCGGGUUCCGGCCGUGAAACCCCCUACUUUUAAAGGUUGACCUCGGAUCAGGUAGGAAUACCCGCUGAACUUAAGCAUAUCAAUAAGCGGAGGA